rnacentral:lncRNA from 1 species
UUUAUUUUCUCACGUGUUGAGAUAAGAUCACAGCCAAAAAGAGAGAAACACGAGGAAGCUCAAAGUUGAGAGUUUGCUAGCACAAACUUCGGCUUAGGGAUUCACACAUUCUUAGUGAAGAGAUUUCGGCAUAUCACUGUGUGGAUCACCAUUAAACGUAGGACAACUGUGCUGCUGUUGUUUGAUAAGUCCUAGUUGAUGUACAAAAGUUAAAACGAAAAGCCAAGGAGGACUCCACCAAAGAAAGCAGAUUUUCAGGUAUGUCAAAAUUUCUUUUGUGAUUUUUCUAGAUUAGUUUCAAUUAAAGUGAUCCAUGGCUUUGGGGAUUAAAAUUUUAAUAAUAUUCCACUGCGUAUGAGUUGUCUUAGCAUGAUUUAAAUCCCCAACAAUGGUAUCAGAGCCUCCUUUAAUUGAUUUAAUCUAGUUUUAUGUUUAGUUGUUGAAGAUUACAAAAACUGUUUUGUUUAUAUGUCGAUUUGAUGCAAAGUUUGAAAAAUUAUUUAGAAUAAUUCUGAAUGGAUUUUUCAAAACUAAUUUAUGUUUCAAAAGUCCUUUAAAGUCUUGAUUUAUGGCUUUAAAAUCUAGAUUUAAUAAGUCCUUAAAGAUUUUAUAGAUUUGUUUUAAGAGAAUCCAAAUUUGAAAAAUCUGGCAGCAUAAUGUGAUCUGCUUUGGAAAUUUUUUUGAGGGACUUAGAGAAGGAGUUUGAACGUGAUUUUUGGAGGGUAGAAGGUCAAGAGGAUGAUCUUAACCUCUGAAAAUUUACAGCAUUUAAUUAUCUCGUUUGGGUGGUGAUCUGAUGAUGUUUCUGCACAAACAGUUUGUUGGAAUAACGGUG